GCCUGGGAUAGCUCAGUCGGUAGAGCGUGAUACUCUGAAUCUCGGGGUCGCGGGUUCGAGCCCCACGUUGAGCA